GAUCCGGAGCGGCCCCGGAUGCAGAGGUGGGGCAGAAGGCCAGCUCCCGGAGAGUUCACCUGUAGAGUUCCCGGCUGGAAACCGAAGCAGGUGUGCUUGCCAUAGGUCGGAGGUCCUACUUAUCCCCACCUGACAGCACUUCUCCCCUCUGGCUCCAUGAGACCCGAAGUUUUGAACAUCAGCAUGUGAGUCAGUGAUGCUGCUUGUCACAGGACGUCAGCAUUCAGAGAGAGCAGCAGGUCCAUUUGGCACAAUGUCAUCUUCAAGUCAGGACUGGAGUUUCUUUGGUGAUGGAGUCAGAAGGAGAGUGUUUGGGAAUUCUGGAUGGAGGCAUGCUGGUGUCAGGAGCACUGGGUUGAGUUCUGGAACUGCUUGCCUGAGCCUAGGUGCGUCAGGUUAUCCCACAGAGCUUCCGUUGACUCCUUAUGAAAUUUGUGGAAGGAGCAGGAUCUGUGGACUCCAGGGGUGAUGUGAGAAACCUCAGAAGCCUCCCUUGUCCGUGUUUCCCUCUUCUGUCCCGGUGCUCCGUUCCUUCCUAAGGCCUUGUCACCCGGACCAGAGCAGUGAAUCUGGAACCUCUUCCAAAUGGAGACCCGGAGGCUGCAACAAGGAGGGUCUUGGCCUUGGUCCCCAGACUAGUGGUCAGUGCUCUGCCACGUUCUGCGUACCCAGGUCCUCAGCCCCCCAAGCCCCCAGUCUGUCCCCUGCUCAGAAGGACCUCGAGGGAGUACAAAGCAUUUUCCCAGGACUGGGAGCACAGUGGGUCGGGGAUGGAGAUCCAAGGCCAAAGGCUCUUCCACAAGCCUGUGGGACCCUAGGGACACUGCAUCUCUACAGCCCAAGUGACAGAAGAGUAAGCUGAGGCCUUUGUGCUGUAGCCCCUCUGGACUUGGGGGUGGGUAUCUCUUCCUGCUUCCAAGUGCCCAGGCUGGUGAUGGACACCGGAACCCAGACCCUGUCCUCUCCCAGUGCCCUGGCAACCCUUCGGGGCCCCUUGGGGGCCCGUGACCCUCAGCCUGGCCUGUCUCCCCUCCCCAUGCUAUGGAUCUGGGUCCUUGCCAGGAGUCCUGAUGCCCUGCCCCAUGGCCCAGCUGUCUGCAAUCUGUUUCUUCUUUCCCCCCUGUCACCCACCUCGCUCCCAGGGUGUCUUCCCCUUCUGACCCCCAGCUGGGCAUUCAGAGUGGUGUGUGUGUGUGUGGGGGGGGGUGGGUUUGCAGGUGCACGUGCCUCUACGUGCCUGGGGGUGCCAAGGUCAUGUCCCCACAUGGGACGGGAUGGGUAGCUCUUCCCGAGGAUCUGAGGGGCUCUCACCCCCAAAGCAAACCUCAUGGGACGGUUGGGACUGGCCUAGGACUGGAGAGUAGCUCCUUGGACUCUGCACCCCUCAGUUGUCCUGGGCCAGUCCCUGCCUCUCUUGACCCAGGUUCCCAACUGUCCCUGAGGGUCGGACAUGGAAAGGCUUGAACGUGGCUGCUCCUCCAGGGGUAGGUGGGGGACAGGUGCACCAGGCACGCAGGCCUCCCCACCGAGAGGGCCAGCCAGGUGUGUCAUGGCCAGGUGUGCACAGACGACCUGCCCACAGCUCCUGUACCAUGACCCAGCCCUGCGGCAGAUGUGCACGAGACCCAUGGCUCCGCACCUGACUGGUCCCCCGCGUUCCCUCACCACCUCGGAGACAAGGGCUCUUCUUCGUCCUAGGACCCGUCAUCCUUCGGACAAUGAGAGCAGAGGGAUCCGUAUGUAGAGGAGGCCGGCAGGGUGUCCCACGGAACGUCGUGUGCCCAUCUCUGCUUUGUCGUCUAGGCUUAGCGGCGGACCCCCACCUAGAAAGAGGCCCGCGGGGCAGGGACAUUUGUCUGCCCUGUUCCCUGAAUUAUGGAAAAUGUCUAGAAGGGGCUUCCUGUCCAUUUGUGGAGUCGAUGAAGCCCAGCCAGCACCUUUCAGAGGUCUGAGUGGCUCUGGGGCCCCUCUGCCAGCCCCCAGGGAUCCCUGCUCUGGUUCCACCCAGGAUGGGAGCCCCAGAUGGAAUCUGAAACCUCCUCACAGCCAGGAAUGCGGCUUUGCCCGGGACACAGGACACCGAGGCUUGGGGCAGAGAGCUCCUUCACGGUGGAGAGGAACCGCCUCAGCCCCAGGCCAUCCUCCCCGUGGGCCGGCCACAGGGUCGGGGAGCGGUCCCAACAGGCCCAACGGCAACCCCGUGUGUGGGGCCUGGCCUCGUGGCACGCAGGGUCCCCAGGAGACACCUGAGGUUCGGAGAGGGGACGUGCCAGGCCCAAGACACACAGCCCACAGGUGAGGGGGAGCCUCCGGGCGGGACGGGGGGCCCUGCUCACCUUUGUGAGCAGCAGGUGUGGGAAGGGCUGGGAGGCGUUCCUCUGGGAGGUGCUCCGGGAGAGGGGCCACAGGAGAGGGCCUGGCCCGGCUCCACCAGCUUCCUCAGGCUGUCAGCACGGACCGCCCACAGCCUCUGGCUCGCCCCCAGCGGCAGGGCCCACUCAGGUUCACGGUGGGGCUGAUCUUUGGAUAAAGGAGGGACAAUUCCCAACACAGAAACUGCAAAACUAUUCCUGUCCAUGUCCUGAAGUGCAACAGAAUAUCCAAAUUGGUUCGGAUCAUCUUCCACGUAUGUGAAGGGUGAUUUUGUACCUGGCCAAGGCGGGGGCUGGACCGGGUGUGUGUGUCUGUGUGUGAAGGACCAGGUGUGUGUGUGUGUGUGUUUGAAGGACUGGGUGUGUGUGUGUGUUUGGCGUGUGUGUCUGUGUGUGUGUGUCUGUGAAGGGAGCAGCCCAGACCCCUUGGGUUGAGAUCAUGGCCACGUAAGGGGCACAGCCGUC